CUAUAAGUUAGAAUUCUUCAGGAAUCAAGUAUUUUUUUCUAAGUUCCUGAAGGUCGAAAUCGGUCAGGAUAGAUUGUUCAGUACUCGGACCAAGAUAAUCUAAAGGAUCUCUUAUAGGAGAUUCUGGGUUAUCUCUACCUGAGGUACUGACCUCAGCUAUUGUUCGAGAUGAACUUUCCACCUUAAACUCGAGUAGUGGUUGGAUCAAUCGAGGUACUUAAUUGUCCUGACUUAUCUCGUUGCUACUACC
rnacentral:lncRNA from 1 species